rnacentral:rRNA from 1 species
AUUGAACGCUGGCGGCAUGCCUUACACAUGCAAGUCGAACGGCAGCACGGGUGCUUGCACCUGGUGGCGAGUGGCGAACGGGUGAGUAAUACAUCGGAACAUGUCCUGUAGUGGGGGAUAGCCCGGCGAAAGCCGGAUUAAUACCGCAUACGAUCCACGGAUGAAAGCGGGGGACCUUCGGGCCUCGCGCUAUAGGGUUGGCCGAUGGCUGAUUAGCUAGUUGGUGGGGUAAAGGCCUACCAAGGCGACGAUCAGUAGCUGGUCUGAGAGGACGACCAGCCAACUGGGACCUGAGCCCGGCCCCAGACUCCUACGGGAGGCAGCGGUGGGAAUUUUUGGCCAUUGGGCGAAAGCUUGUCCCAGCAAUGCGGCGUGUUUAAGAAGGACUUCGGGUUGUAAAGCACUUUUGUCCGGAAAGAAAUCCUUGACUCUAAUACAGUCGGGGGAUGACGGUACCGGAAGAAUAAGCACCGGCUAACUACGUG